rnacentral:rRNA from 1 species
CAGUUGGGAAUCUUGGACAAUGGGGGAAACCCUGAUCCAGCCAUGCCGCGUGAGUGAUGAAGGCCUUCGGGUUGUAAAACUCUUUCGCGCACGACGAUAAUGACGGUAGUGCGAGAAGAAGCUCCGGCUAACUUCGUGCCAGCAGCCGCGGUAAUACGAAGGGGGCUAGCGUUGUUCGGAAUUACUGGGCGUAAAGCGCGCGCAGGCGGUCUUCCAAGUCAGUGGUGAAAGCCCGGAGCUCAACUCCGGAACUGCCAUUGAAACUGUGAGACUUGAGUAUGAGAGAGGUGAGUGGAAUUCCCAGUGUAGAGGUGAAAUUCGUAGAUAUUGGGAAGAACACCGGUGGCGAAGGCGGCUCACUGGCUCAUUACUGACGCUCAGGCGCGACAGCGUGGGGAUCAAACAGGAUUAGA